AUUUUAAAUAGCUAAGAUAUGAAUAAAGGUGUUUGGUUUUCCUUGGCAGCACUUUGCGUGACAGGUGUGGCAGAAUGCCUCGAGUGUUUUUCCUGUCUGAAUAUUACUGAUCCCAAUGAUUGUCAAGCAACUACUCAGUGUGCAAGUGGACAA